CCUACGGGUGGCAGCAGUGGGGAAUAUUGCACAAUGGGGGAAACCCUGAUGCAGCGACGCCGCGUGAGUGAAGAAGUAAUUCGUUAUGUAAAGCUCUAUCAGCAGGGAAGAAAAUGACGGUACCUGAGUAAGAAGCCCCGGCUAACUACGUGCCAGCAGCCGCGGUAAUACGUAGGGGGCAAGCGUUAUCCGGAUUUACUGGGGGUAAAGGGAGCGUAGACGGCCGUGGAAGUCCGCGGUAAAAAUUCGGGGCUCAAACCCGGCCGGCCGUUGAAAUUGGGGGCCUUGAGUGGGCGAGAAGAAGGCGGAAUGCGUGGUGUAGCGGUGAAAUGCAUAGAUAUCACGCAGAACCCCGAUUGCGAAGGCAGCCUGCCGGCGCCCGACUGACGCUGAGGCACGAAAGUGCGGGGAUCGAACAGGAUUAGAUACCCCUGUAGUC
rnacentral:rRNA from 1 species